ACGAACGCUGGCGGCGUGCUUCAUACAUGCAAGUCGAACGAGAAGUCUUAACUUCGGUAAGAGGAAAGUGGCGGACGGGUGAGUAAUAUGUAGAGAAUCUGCCCUUAAGCGGGGGACAACAGUUGGAAACGACUGCUAAUACCCCAUAUGAGCGUACCUGAAAUGGUAUUCUUGAAAACUCCGGUGCUUAAGGAUGAGUCUGCAUCUGAUUAGCUAGUUGGGGGUGUAAUGGACCACCAAGGCGACGAUCAGUAGCUGGUUUGAGAGGAUGAUCAGCCACAAUGGGACUGAGACACGGCCCAUACUCCUACGGGAGGCAGCAGUAGGGAAUUUUGCGCAAUGGGCGAAAGCCUGAACCGCAGCAACGCCGCGUGAACGAGAAGCCCUUCGGGGUGUAAAGUUCUGUCAGUAGGGACGAACAAUGACUGUACCUACAGAGGAAGCACCGGCUAACUCCGUGCCAGCCGCCGC
rnacentral:rRNA from 1 species